AAGCAGAAAAGCUGAGAGGAUAAACUGAUGGGUUUUCUGAACAUUGUCUCUAACAGACAGUAUGCAGAACUGUUAUAUGGUGGGCCAUAUUGUGAUGGUUUUCUCAUCAGUACCUGCUCCUUCUGUAGAAAUCAAUAGAAUCAAUUCUUUACGUUCUAAAUCUUCUUCAGUGACUGUGGUAUAAGUGAUGGAUGUGGGAGGAAUAUCAAACAUUUUCUGCUGACUGUAAUUUAGAAUAACUAGAAGAUUUGUAGCAUUUUAAAGAAAAGUUGAGUGUAGGAAAUUAUUUGACAGGAAAAAUAGAUCAUUAGUAAUAAAUAUUUAGUAGUGCUUCUUUUCUUGUUUUAUAUGGUUUCUCUGAUAAAUCAUUCCGCCUGGGGCCUGGCGAGCAGUUGGUAGAGCCUGCUGCAAAAGCGUGAGAGACUGAGCUCAGAUCUGCAGCACCCUUGUAAAAAUCAGCUGUGGAGGCAUGUGUGUGUGUGUGUGUGUGUGUGUGUGUGUGUGUGUGUGUGUGUGAGAGAGAGAGAGAGAGAGAGAGAGAGAGAGAGAGAGAGAGAGAGAGAGACCCUAGUACAGCAGGGUGGGAGGGAGCAGGCAGAGACACUCACUGCUGGAGCUCACUGGCCCGUCACUCUAGCCAACUGAUGAGCCCAGAAGAAAAAAACGGGAGGAGGAAGAAGAGGAAGAACAGGAGGAAGAGAAGACAGGCUAGAUAUAGACUUCUUGCUUCCACAUACAUGAGUCUACACAUGCGUCUACACUAGCAGUAUACAGACCAACAUACAAAACACAUAAUCACACUGAUACACACACAUAAAAAAUAGAAUAACUAUUCAGAUUUAUUGUAACACAGAUUAAGAGUGUUAGUUGGAAAAGCUUUUAUUAGCUCAAAAGUAUUUACCUAUAUUAUCUUACUGACACAUUUGAUGAUUAUAAGUAUCAGAAUGGGAAGCAGAAAUAAUAGAAAUUAUUUAAAUCUUCAUGAAGCCUUAAAGACUGAUAUUUCACAAAGGAAACUGAAAUACAUUUUGUUAAAUAAAAAAUUUCGAUAUAAUGUAUUACGUGAAGACAGUACACUUGAUAGGAACAACAUUUUCAGUGGGCAGAUGUGCAGUGACUGUGUUGAUACGAGAAGAAAGUAUAAUGUUGAAAUUUAGUAAUUAAGGAAAUAUAAGAUAGCAACAAAAUACCAUCCCAUUUUGUUCCAAUAGCAAAAGUUUUAAAAGUUGGAAAACUGAAAGCUGUAUAAAUCGUGGUGAAUCUAUACUUAGGAAUUGCUAUUGUUUUAAUGAAAACUAACAUAUAACUGUGAAAAAAGAUAUUAAGAGCAGCAAAUAUACUCUCUUCAUUUUUAUUAUAAUGGAGUUCAGUAAAAAAAUGAACAAAAAUGUUUAUUAUACUAUUAUUUAUAAUGGGGAAAAAUAAGUAGUAUAAAAAUCCUCCAAUAGAGCAAAGGCUUGAUAAAUUAGGAGUCAGUAUUGUCACAAACUGAUCUUUUUAUGUGAUCGCUAUGACAGUUUUAUAGCAGGGAGAAAAUGCUGAUUUUAUGAAAAAUAUGUGUAUGUGGAAAAAAUGGGCGUGAGGAGAAUGAAAAUAAGGCAGUCACACUGUAGCUUGUUGUCUUUGGAUAUUUCCUUCAGUGCUGUUAAUCAUGCAAUAACUAGAUCUAAAAAAAUUGCUAUCCACAUCUCAUUACCUUGUGUAGACUCUGCUAGCAAUGGCUGCUAACGCUAACAGCUUCAUAUUGCCAAAUACAAGCUCUGAUUUGGAUAUUCUAAUCAGGGAAAACAGAGGAAACAGGCCUGAAUUCUUACUGUGAGACCUACAACCAAACAAACCUCUUUCAAUAUAUACAUUCAAUGGACAUUAUGUGCAGAUAUCCUAGACUAAUAUUUAGCAUAUAGGACAGUUGCUAUUUGGUUUGUUGUGUUGGAGCCUAUUGAAUAUGCAAAUUGAAUAUGAAAUUUUAUAAGCUUAAGAAAGUUUUACCUUCAGGGUCUUGUUUCAUGUGUGUGCAGGACAUGGAUGUGGGUGCACAUGCGUAAAUGCACCCAGGCUGUGAGCAAGAGGAACCCCGUUGAGUAAUUUACAGGGACCAAUCCCAGUUGUUAACAAGCACAUCUUCUUGUUAAGUGAACACCAUAUGGAAAUAGAGUCUAUUAAUAUAAUGUUCUUAUCAGACCCUCUGGAUUCGUAAUUGUUAACUUAUUUUUGGUAGAUAAUUAAGGCAAUCAUAAAUAUCUCUCUAGUGCACAGCUAAAUUGGAUGUAUCCAAAGAGGAUGUUUAAAACAUUAGGAUGAAGUUCAAGUAAACGAAUAUAUUACGAUAUAUUUAGUAUGAUAAGCAAUUGUGAAAAUAGUUAUGACCUUUUUUGUUGGUUUGUUUUGAGAUGGGGUCUCACCAUGCCACCUUUGCUGGCCUGGAACACAGUAUAGACAAGGCUAGCCUCAAACAGUUGACACUCCCAGCCUCUUCCUCCUGCAUGCUGGGAUGGAUUAAAGAUAUGCACCAGCAUGCCAAGUAAGAUUUUUUUUUUUAAUAUGAGAAGCCCAAUAAUUUGUCUUAAAGGCAGAUAUAGAAUGUUUUUUUUCACUUAACCAUAUUUCAAAAUGUAAAAUAUAGGUUUACUGAAUUUGUUUUUCUAGCUACUAUAAUUUUACCAUUUUCCGAGGUUCAGGGAACAUUGAGGAAGGGAAGGUCCAAAGACCUUCAAGCCAGAGGUCAUAGAGGAGCAUUGUGAAAUAGAACUGGUGUGCUCAUAAGCUCACAGUAGUUGCUUGUCUGCAUAAGACCUGCACAACAGGAUUGAGCCAGUCUUCGGCACUCCAGCAUGAAUGGGGUCACCAGGUCCCUUGCCCUAACUCAGAAGUGCUUGGCAUUUCAUAGAUGUUGCAAGAGGGAGAGUUGGAUUUCUUCAGGUGUGUGCCCCCAUAUAGGUUGCCAUGAUCCAAUGGACAAGCCUGCAGCCACUAAGUGUACUCAGUGGAUUAUC
rnacentral:lncRNA from 1 species